AAAAACAUCGCCUCCCGCAAAAAUCAAAGUAUAGGAGGUCUUGCCUGCCCAGUGACUAUAAGUUAAACGGCCGCGGUAUUUUGACCGUGCAAAGGUAGCGCAAUCACUUGUCUUUUAAAUGAAGACCUGUAUGAAUGGUGGAACGAGGGCUUAACUGUCUCCCCCCUCUAGUCAAUGAAAUUGAUCUGCCCGUGCAGAAGCGGACAUAAUAAUACAAGACGAGAAGACCCUUUGGAGCUUAAGACAAAAGACCAACUACAUCAAAAGUCCUUAAAACUAAACCAAGUAGCACUGGUUCUAGUCUUCGGUUGGGGCGACCGCGGGAGAAAACAAAGCUCCCAUGCGGACUGGGGUAAACCCCUAAAACUAAGAGAGACAUCUCCAAGGCACAGAACAUUUGACCAAAAAGAUCCGGCUACAUGCCGACCAGCGGACCAAGUUACCCUAGGGAUAACAGCGCAAUCCCCUUCCAGAGUCCAUAUCGACAAGGGGGUUUACGACCUCGAUGUUGGAUCAGGACAUCCUAAUGGUGCAGCCGCUAUUAAGGGUUC
rnacentral:rRNA from 1 species